UGGAGGACCGAACCGACUAAUGUUGAAAAAUUAGCGGAUGACCUGUGGCUGGGGGUGAAAGGCCAAUCAAACCGGGAGAUAGCUGGUUCUCCCCGAAAGCUAUUUAGGUAGCGCCUCGUGAAUUCAUCUCCGGGGGUAGAGCACUGUUUCGGCUAGGGGGCCAUCCCGGCUUACCAACCCGAUGCAAACUGCGAAUACCGGAGAAUGUUAUCACGGGAGACACACGGCGGGUGCUAACGUCCGUCGUGAAGAGGGAAACAACCCAGACCGCCAGCUAAGGUCCCAAAGUCAUGGUUAAGUGGGAAACGAUGUGGGAAGGCCCAGACAGCCAGGAUGUUGGCUUAGAAGCAGCCAUCAUUUAAAGAAAGCGUAAUAGCUCACUGGUCGAGUCGGCCUGCGCGGAAGAUGUAACGGGGCUAAACCAUGCACCGAAGCUGCGGCAGCGACACUGUGUGUUGUUGGGUAGGGGAGCGUUCUGUAAGCCUGCGAAGGUGUCCCGUGAGGGAUGCUGGAGGUAUCAGAAGUGCGAAUGCUGACAUAAGUAACGAUAAAGCGGGUGAAAAGCCCGCUCGCCGGAAGACCAAGGGUUCCUGUCCAACGUUAAUCGGGGCAGGGUGAGUCGACCCCUAAGGCGAGGCCGAAAGGCGUAGUCGAUGGGAAACGGGUUAAUAUUCCCGUACUUGGUGUUACUGCGAAGGGGGGACGGAGAAGGCUAUGUUGGCCGGGCGACGGUUGUCCCGGUUUAAGCGUGUAGGUGUGUGUUCCAGGUAAAUCCGGUUCACUUUAACACUGAGGCGUGACGACGAGGCACUACGGUGCUGAAGCAACAAAUGCCCUGCUUCCAGGAAAAGCCUCUAAGCAUCAGGUAACAUCAAAUCGUACCCCAAACCGACACAGGUGGUCAGGUAGAGAAUACCAAGGCGCUUGAGAGAACUCGGGUGAAGGAACUAGGCAAAAUGGUGCCGUAACUUCGGGAGAAGGCACGCUGACACGUAGGUGAAGUGAUUUACUCAUGGAGCUGAAGUCAGUCGAAGAUACCAGCUGGCUGCAACUGUUUAUUAAAAACACAGCACUGUGCAAACACGAAAGUGGACGUAUACGGUGUGACGCCUGCCCGGUGCCGGAAGGUUAAUUGAUGGGGUCAGCGCAAGCGAAGCUCCUGAUCGAAGCCCCGGUAAACGGCGGCCGUAACUAUAACGGUCCUAAGGUAGCGAAAUUCCUUGUCGGGUAAGUUCCGACCUGCACGAAUGGCGUAAUGAUGGCCAGGCUGUCUCCACCCGAGACUCAGUGAAAUUGAACUCGCUGUGAAGAUGCAGUGUACCCGCGGCAAGACGGAAAGACCCCGUGAACCUUUACUAUAGCUUGACACUGAACAUUGAGCCUUGAUGUGUAGGAUAGGUGGGAGGCUUUGAAGUGUGGACGCCAGUCUGCAUGGAGCCGACCUUGAAAUACCACCCUUUAAUGUUUGAUGUUCUAACGUGGACCCGUAAUCCGGGUUGCGGACAGUGUCUGGUGGGUAGUUUGACUGGGGCGGUCUCCUCCUAAAGAGUAACGGAGGAGCACGAAGGUUGGCUAAUCCUGGUCGGACAUCAGGAGGUUAGUGCAAUGGCAUAAGCCAGCUUGACUGCGAGCGUGACGGCGCGAGCAGGUGCGAAAGCAGGUCAUAGUGAUCCGGUGGUUCUGAAUGGAAGGGCCAUCGCUCAACGGAUAAAAGGUACUCCGGGGAUAACAGGCUGAUACCGCCCAAGAGUUCAUAUCGACGGCGGUGUUUGGCACCUCGAUGUCGGCUCAUCACAUCCUGGGGCUGAAGUAGGUCCCAAGGGUAUGGCUGUUCGCCAUUUAAAGUGGUACGCGAGCUGGGUUUAGAACGUCGUGAGACAGUUCGGUCCCUAUCUGCCGUGGGCGCUGGAGAACUGAGGGGGGCUGCUCCUAGUACGAGAGGACCGGAGUGGACGCAUCACUGGUGUUCGGGUUGUCAUGCCAAUGGCACUGCCCGGUAGCUAAAUGCGGAAGAGAUAAGUGCUGAAAGCAUCUAAGCACGAAACUUGCCCCGAGAUGAGUUCUCCCUGAGACUUAGAGUCUCCUGAAGGAACGUUGAAGACGACGACGUUGAUAGGCCGGGUGUGUAAGCGCAGCGAUGCGUUGAGCUAACCGGUACUAAUGAACCGUGAGG
rnacentral:rRNA from 1 species